rnacentral:rRNA from 1 species
CCUACGGGAGGCAGCAGUGAGGAAUAUUGGUCAAUGGCCGGAAGGCUGAACCAGCCAUGCCGCGUGAAGGUCAGUGCCCUAUGGGCGUUAAACUUCUUUUGUGCGGGAGCAAUAAUGGUCACGUGUGGCCAGACGAGAGUACCGUACGAAUAAGCAUCGGCUAACUCCGUGCCAGCAGCCGCGGUAAUACGGAGGAUCCGAGCGUUAUCCGGAUUUAUUGGGUUUAAAGGGAGCGUAGAUGGGUUGUUAAGUCAGUUGUGAAAUUUUGCGGCUCAACCGUAAAAUUGCAAUUGAUACUGGCAGCCUUGAGGACAGUUGAGGUAGGCGGAAUUCGUGGUGUAGCGGUGAAAUGCUUAGAUAUCACGAAGAACUCCGAUUGCGAAGGCAGCUUGCUAAACUGCCACUGACAUUGAUGCUCGAAAGUGUGGGUAUCAAACAGGAUUAGAUACCCGAGUAGUC